rnacentral:rRNA from 1 species
UGGGGAAUAUUGCACAAUGGAGGGAACUCUGAUGCAGCGACGCCGCGUGAGUGAAGAAGUCAUUAGUGAUGUAAAGCUCUAUCAGUAGGGAAGAAGGAAGACGGUACCUAAGGAAGAAGCACCGGCUAAAUACGUGCCAGCAGCCGCGGUAAUACGUAUGGUGCAAGCGUUAUCCGGAAUUACUGGGUGUAAAGGGAGCGUAGGUGGCAAGGCAAGUCUGAUGUGAAACCCCAAAGCUUAACUAUGGGAAUGCAUUGGAAACUGUCUAGCUAGAGUGUAGGAGAGGUAAGCGGAAUUCCUAGUGUAGCGGUGAAAUGCGUAGAUAUUAGGAGGAACAUCGGUGGCGAAGGCGGCUUACUGGACUAUAACAGACACUGAGGCUCGAAAGCGUGGGGAGCGAACAGG